GGAUCCAGACUUUGAUUCUGGCUCAGAACGAACGCUGGCGGCAGGCCUAACACAUGCAAGUCGAGCGCUCACUUCGGUGGGAGCGGCGGACGGGUUAGUAACGCGUGGGAACGUGCCCAGAUCUAAGGAAUAGCCACUGGAAACGGUGAGUAAUACCUUAUACGCCCUUCGGGGGAAAGAUUUAUCGGAUUUGGAUCGGCCCGCGUUAGAUUAGAUAGUUGGUGGGGUAAUGGCCUACCAAGUCUACGAUCUAUAGCUGGUUUUAGAGGAUGAUCAGCAACACUGGGACUGAGACACGGCCCAGACUCCUACGGGAGGCAGCAGUGGGGAAUCUUGGACAAUGGGGGCAACCCUGAUCCAGCCAUGCCGCGUGAGUGAUGAAGGCCUUAGGGUCGUAAAGCUCUUUCGCCAGGGAUGAUAAUGACAGUACCUGGUAAAGAAACCCCGGCUAACUCCGUGCCAGCAGCCGCGG
rnacentral:rRNA from 1 species